AGAGUUUGAUUCUGGCUCAGAACGAACGCUGGCAGCGUGGAUUAGGCAUGCGAGUCGAACGAGAAACUAUUGUUUCAAUCUUCGGAGAGAAACGAUGGCAGACAGUGGCGGAAGGGUGAGUAACGCGUGGGCAAGCUACCUCGAAGUUGGGGACAACCAGAUGAAAUCUGGCUAAUACCGGAUGUGGUCUCUUGGCGCAUGUCAGGAUGACUAAAGGCGGGGAUCCUUCGGGACCUGUCGCUUUGAGAGGUGCCCGCGUGCCAUCAGCUUGUUGGUAGGGUAACGGCCUACCAAGGCUUACGGCUAGCCGGCCUGAGAGGGUGACCGGCCACACUGGGACUGAGACACUGCCCAGACUCCUACGGGAGGCUGCAGUCGAGGAUCAUUCGCAAUGCGCGAAAGCGUGACGAUGCGACGCUGCGUGGAGGAUGACGGCCUUCGGGUUGUAAACUCCUGUCAUGAGGGAAAAGACGUUUCACCCCUAAUACGGGUGAGGCCCGAUGGUACCUCAAGAGGAAGCCACGGCUAACUCUGUGCCAGCAGCCGCGGUAAUACAGAGGUGGCGAGCGUUGUUCGGAUUUACUGGGCGUAAAGGGUGCGUAGGUGGUUCCGUAUGUCGGAUGUGAAAUCCCAUGGCUCAACUGUGGAAUUGCAUUCGAAACCACGGAACUAGAGUGCAGGAGGGGAGAGCGGAAUUCUUGGUGUAGCGGUGAAAUGCGUUGAUAUCAAGAAGAACACCGGUGGCGAAGGCGGCUCUCUGGAAUGCUACUGACACUGAGGCACGAAAGCUGGGAGAGCAAACAGGAUUAGAUACCCUGGUAGUCCCAGCCGUAAACGGUGCACACUUGGUGUGGGGAGAUUUAACCCUCUCCGUGCCGGAGCUAACGCGUUAAGUGUGCCGCCUGGGGAGUACGGCCGCAAGGCUAAAACUCAAAGAAAUUGACGGGGGCCCGCACAAGCGGAGGAGCAUGUGGCUUAAUUCGACGCAACGCGAAGAACCUUACCAGGGCUUGACAUAUACCUGCAAGCCCCCUGAAAGGGGGGAAUCCUUCGAGGGUGGUAUACAGGUGCUGCAUGGCUGUCGUCAGUUCGUGCCGUGAGGUGUUGGGUUAAGUCCCGUAACGAACGCAACCCUUGUGGCUAGUUGCGACCGGCGGUGAUGAGCCGCCGAGCACUCUAGUCAGACUGCCCGUACAAGCGGGAGGAAGGUGGGGAUGACGUCAAGUCAGUAUGGCCCUUACGCCCUGGGCUGCACACGUGCUACAAUGGACGGUACAAUGGGAUGCAAUACCGCGAGGUGGAGCCAAUCCCCAGAACCGUCCCCAGUUCGGAUUGAAGUCUGCAACUCGACUUCAUGAAGUUGGAUUCGCUAGUAACGGCGCAUCAGCUACGGCGCCGUGAAUACGUUCCCGGGCCUUGUACACACCGCCCGUCACAUCAUGAAAGCCGUCUGCACCCGAAGUCGCUGAUCCAACCCGCAAGGGAGGUAGGUGCCGAAGGUGUGGGUGGUGAUUGGGAUGAAGUCGUAACAAGGUA
rnacentral:rRNA from 1 species